rnacentral:rRNA from 1 species
UACGAAGGGGGCUAGCGUUGCUCGGAAUGACUGGGCGUAAAGGGCGCGUAGGCGGCCAGGUAGGUCAGCUGUGAAAACUCGAGGCUCAACCUCGAGACGUCGGUUGAAACCAUCUGGCUAGAGUCCGGAAGAGGAGAGUGGAAUUCCUGGUGUAGCGGUGAAAUGCGCAGAUAUCAGGAAGAACACCCGUGGCGAAGGCGGCUCUCUGGGACGGUACUGACGCUGAGACGCGAAAGCGUGGGGAGCGAACAGG